rnacentral:lncRNA from 1 species
AGAUUAUGUUAUUUAUAAUAAGAUGUCAUGUAAACAAAGAUCGUUACAUACAACACAUCAAGUGCUACAAACCAAUUACAAUAUAUAUAAUUUAAACAAAAUACAAAUACACAAUCAAUACACUCUCAAGUGUCCCCUUACUCUCCUCUUCCUCUUUUUUAGUUGAUUAUAAAUCCCUCUACUAAGCUAAGACUAUAAAAUAAAUAUUAUUAAAGAUAAAUGCUACAAUAAUGUUGCUACAAAAUUAUACUCAUCUAAAACAAAGUUAUUGGAGCUAGACUACCAAAACGUGUAACAAAUGUGAAAGAAAAAAUCUUUAAUAUUUAUUAAUAGAUGAGGCAUGGUUGAAAGACUACUUAUAAUAAGGACAAAUCCAAUCUCCUAAAAAAAGAGUUAAAAAAUGUGGCAUCAAACAUGCUAUAUGCUACCUAUAUUGAUAUUGAUCACACAAAAUCAAAGUAGCAACUUCUUUCUUUUCAUCAUAUACAAAAAAAGAAAGAAUAAUUGACACAAUUAUAUAUUUAGAAUAUACAAAAGCAUCAAUAAGAAGAUGACAAGGAACAAAACUUUUCAAAUGCUUCUAAUACUCAUGUCCAUCUUUG